GUCGACACGUAUAAUACCUCUCUUGGAACCUAUUUGUACAUGUUCAAAGCAUGAAACCCGAAGUUGACGAACAGAGAAAAAAAUCAUAUCUUGGGAUAUGCCGAUAUUGAUCGAUACAUCUGUUGAUCUUUGAAUAAGAGUUUUGGUAACUCAGCCAAUCCCUAGCUGGAACCUUUUAACCGUCUUGGUGCUGAUUCAUCAUGAUCCAAUCCUGACCUCUCCCUUCUCAUCGACUCAACUUCACAUCAGAAACUCAGCAACCGCGGCCGGAAUUUAAAUGCCGAAAUCAUUUGAAAAUUCUCGUCGAUAUGGUUGGACCAUGCGUUUGAAAAUCUAUAGAGAUUGGAGGUCGCUCCGAUUUAGUUAUUGAAAAGGAAAUGUAAAACCAAGGAGACUGAAGAAAUCCAAAGAUAGAGCCAAUAAAGACAGUCAGAGGACCAAUUUUAUAAACCUUAACAGAAAAAGGCCGUGCUGGAUGAACAGAUAUUGCUCCGCAGCUCGUUUCCUGGACCUUACUUCAUAAAAGUAUCCCCAUCCGAACCUACAGCAGAACCUCAACCUACAGCAGAACCUCAACUUCCAGCAGAACCCAAACCGUUCUAAUUGCCAUGUUAGCUGAAGAUUGUUCUAUUAUUAGAAAAUAGGCUAUAGAUGGUAGUUGGGUAUAUUUUAAUUGUUUUGGUAAUAAUGUGUAAGUAACUGAGCCGCCUACUUUAAAGGGAUUAGAUUUAAAUCUUGAAUUGUUUCAGAACCAAUUACUUCUGGGCUGCCCUGUAAAAAUUAAACGGGCGUAUAGGUUGUCUCGGCAAAGCCUCCUUAAAUUAUUGAUACACGAUCUUAAGGCGAACCUUUUGUAGUUUUUUGCACAUUUCACGGUGUGAAGAUAAUUUUACCACGGUAAAUUCGGUACACAUACUCAAGUUCGACACGUACAACUGUAGUUCGACAAACCCUAAGGUUGGACUUUGUCUAACGAAAGUGCUCUACCUGGACUCAAAUUCUACAGGCGAACUUCGACUAUCAAACUUUAGUUUAAAAUCUCUGGUCUCCAACAAGAUCCUUUAUGAGCUUGAAAUCUCUUCGUAUGUCUUUUUUUCGCUUGUCUCAUGCUACCCAAUGAUGUUAGAAUUGUAGAUUUAACGGAGAGAUAAACGACUAAUAUAGGCGUGACAACUCUUACUUCGUUUUAAAGAUCUAGAUUGUAGAGUAUGCUAUAUAAAUAUCUACCAUAUACCACCUUUUUAUGUUAUCACAAACGUCAAGUAACAGAGUACCCGUCUAGAGAUUUGGCUACUGGACCGGAAACAGUAUGAUAUCAGUCUAUUUUCCUGUUAUCAUGCCCUUUAAUAGUUUUACCCGAUAUUGAACCAAAUAUCAACUUUGAAACUUCUUCAAAAACAUAGUUCUUUGAAGCACUAACGUAUGUAAUAUUGUUAGUUUAUUAUACAGAUGAAUUUUAGUUCUGUUA